UAUAUAUAUAUAUAUAUAUAUAUAUUUGGAUUAGAUAAUAAGAUGGGAAAUGAUUAUUUUAAUUAAUCUACUGUUCAUACAAAAGAAGAGCCUCAUUCAUCAACAUAACAAACAGUCAUGGCGUGUACAGGAAGUGUGUGGGAAAUGUAAAAAAUCUGAAUGUUAACGUUAAGAUUUAUUUAUUUAUUUAUUUAUUUAUUUAUUUAUUUUGUAUGACAAUGACAGAACCACAUCUCUCUCCAUCAUCAUCAUCAUCAUCAUCAUCAUCAUCUCCCUCGGUUGAAUUCUUCUGAAGGAAGGGGAUCAGGUUCACGUUUUGACCCAAACCCCCGUUACAUUUUUCACGAACGCUGUCCUGAGACACAGGCUGUUGUGUAGACGUACAGUAAAUCGUGUGUUUAUUAGAUAACUCGAUCGGCGCAGCAGACGAACCGGUGUAUCAGUGAUAUAGACGGUGACGGUGGAGGCGCGGUGGUAGCGUCCGGAACGCUCCAUUGUGAGCUCGGGUUACUCUCUGUCUGGAUCCGUGUGUGUGCGGAAUAAAACACGGCCUCGGGGUGCGAGUGACUGCGUGAGGGAGUGUGUGAGUAAUAAGUGUGUGUGUGUGAGUGAGUGUGUGAGUAAUAAGUGUGUGUGAGUGAGUGUGUGAGUAAUAAGUGUGUGUGUGAGUGAGUGUGUGAGUAAUAAGUGUGUGUGAGUGAGUGUGUGAGUAAUAAGUGUGUGUGAGUGAGUGUGUGAGUAAUAAGUGUGUGUGUGAGUGAGUGUGUGAGUAAUAUGUGUGUGUGAGUGAGUGUGUGAGUAAUAAGUGUGUGUGAGUGAGUGUGUGAGUAAUAAGUGUGUGUGAGUGAGUGUGUGAGUAAUAAGUGUGUGUGAGUGAGUGUGUGAGUAAUAAGUGUGUGUGAGUGAGUGAGUGUGUGAGUAAUAAGUGUGUGUGAGUAAUAAUGGUGGUGAGUGAGUGAGUGUGUGAGUGAGUGUGUGUGACCAAGUGGUGACCACCGAUGAUGAUGAUGAAUGUGAUGGUAACGGUGGUGAUGAAGACGGUGAUGAUGAUGAUGCUGAUGACAGUAAUGGUGAUGAUGGUGGUGAUGAAGAUGGUGAUGAUGAUGAUGGUGAUGGUGAUGGUGAUGAUGAUGGCGAUAAUGAUGAUGAAGAUGAUGAUGAUGAUGAUGGUGAUGAUGAUGAUGAUGAUGAUGGUGGUUGAUGGUGAUCGUGCUGAUGAUGGUGAUGAUGAUGAUGGUGGUGACCAUGGUGAUGAUGGUGAUAAUGAUGAUGAUGAUGAUGAUGGUGGUGAUGAUGAUGAUGAUGGUGAUGAUGAUGGUGAUGAUGAUGAUGAUGAUGGUGAUGUUGAUGAUGGUGAUGAUGAUGAAGAUUAUGGUGGUGAUGGUGAUCGUGGUGAUGAAGGUGCUGAUGAUGAUGAUGAUGAUGAUGGUGGUGAUGAUGGUGAUGAUGAUGAAGAUGAUGGUAAUGAUGGUGGUGGUCAUGGUGGUGAUGGUGGUUGAUGUGAUGAAGGUGUGAUGAUGCUGAUGACGGUGAUGAUGAUGAUGAUGAU
ensembl:lncRNA